rnacentral:rRNA from 1 species
UACGAAGGGGGCUAGCGUUGCUCGGAAUUACUGGGCGUAAAGCGCACGUAGGCGGUCUUUUAAGUCGGGGGUGAAAUCCUGGAGCUCAACUCCAGAACUGCCUUCGAUACUGGAAGACUCGAGUCCGGGAGAGGUGAGUGGAACUGCGAGUGUAGAGGUGAAAUUCGUAGAUAUUCGCAAGAACACCAGUGGCGAAGGCGGCUCACUGGCCCGGUACUGACGCUGAGGUGCGAAAGCGUGGGGAGCAACAGGG